GCAGUCCCUGGUUUGCUGUGAUAUGACAAUGGCAUUUGAGCAAAACUCUCAGAAGGUUAAAGAACAGUGUAAUGAGUAUAUACAAAUAUUACAGAUUUGAACACAAGACCUUCCGUUCAGAAGUCCAACACCUUAACCACUGAGCUACCACUUCCCCGUUUAUAUUUACAUUGAUGAGGCUGGCUUCAACCUAAUCAAAAAGGUAAUGGGGACAGAACAUUAUUGCCAACCAUGCCAUUGUGAAUGUCCCUGGACAGCAUGGAGGGAAUAUCACCAUGUGAGCAGAUGUUAACCAGCAAGGCAUUCUCCAUCACCAUGCCAACCUUGGUCCUUUCAACACCGGCCUUCUCAUCACAUUCCUGGACAUACUACAUGGCAUCCUCAUUCUAGUUGAGCACAGAGGUGGACCAGAACUGCCCAGGAAGUGGAUUCUUCGUGCCGCUGGGCUCGAGAACCCUUGACGUGCUUUCUCUUUCUCUGAAGAAGUUGGUAACAAAGGAAUUCACUCUUGAAGUAAGUAUAUGAAUUGCCCUUUAUAAGCACUUCAGUUUAUUAAAGAACAAAAGGAUUACAAAUAUCUUAACUCAGAAUAUAAAGAAAAAUAAAGAACAACCGUAGACUACGCUGAGUCUGAUAAUGGUUUUCUUUUAAGAAGAAAUUAAAAUGAAUAAGUCUUCACCCGAGAAAUUGGCAACUAAACACUCCUCAAUAUUUAUACAUUUUUUUGAGUGUAGUUUUGAGCGCCAGGG